UUUCCGUAGGUGAACCUGCGGAAGGAUCAUCACAGUGUUCCCUGCCCUUCGGGGUAGGAUCGCCACCCUUGAUUAUUUAUGAGUGUUGCUUUGGCGGGCCUCGCGGCCUGGCCGCGCCCCGGCUUCGGCGGGGGAGCGCCCGCCAGAGGAUUCUACAAACCUGAUUAUUAGUGUCGUCUGAGUACUAUAUAAUAGUUAAAACUUUCAACAACGGAUCUCUUGGUUCUG
rnacentral:misc_RNA from 1 species